GAGUUUGAUCCUGGCUCAGAACGAACGCUGGCGGCAGGCUUAACACAUGCAAGUCGAACGCGUGUAGCAAUACACGAGUGGCGCACGGGUGAGUAACGCGUGGAUAUCUGCCUUUUGGUUCGGAAUAACCCCGGGAAACUGGGGCUAAUACCGGAUGGUUCCUACGGGAUAAAGAUUUAUCGCCAAAAGAUGAGUCCGCGUACGAUUAGCUAGUUGGUGGGGUAAUGGCUCACCAAGGCGACGAUCCGUAGCUGGUUUGAGAGAACGACCAGCCACACUGGGACUGAGACACGGCCCAGACUCCUACGGGAGGCAGCAGUGGGGAAUUUUGGACAAUGGGGGCAACCCUGAUCCAGCCAUGCCGCGUGUGUGAAGAAGGCCUUC
rnacentral:rRNA from 1 species